AGAUGUUGUCCUCUGUAUCUGCCCUCCCAACCUUGUCGCUGACGGAUCCACGGAAUUCUCUUUAUAGCGACCCAAAUCCCACCUGACCCUUGUAACCACUUACCGGUCUAUCAUCGCCAUUACCUUUACUUAAUUAGACCAACAUUGGCUUAAGCUUCUACUUCUUCAAUUCGAGUUCGAUUUAGCUACAACCUACAACUAAAGGAGCUCCCUGAGUUAUAUCUUUCAAUGCCUUUGUAAUGUAAUAAGGUUUUUGUCUACGCGCUUUUCUUUAGAUCUGGCUUUAUGUGAUUCAAACAAAAAUACACGAAACUACAGACACUAGCACGGUUUACAAUAUUUCUUCCACGAUCACACAACUACCUUAUUAUAUCUUAAAAUCUACCUUAUUUUCUUCUUUGUUUUUAUAAUUGUUUUUUAAAUUUCUUGUUGGUUGA